rnacentral:rRNA from 1 species
UGGGGAAUUUUGGACAAUGGGCGCAAGCCUGAUCCAGCAAUGCCGCGUGCAGGAUGAAGGCCUUCGGGUUGUAAACUGCUUUUGUACGGAACGAAAAGCCUCUCUCUAAUACAGGGGGGUGAUGACGGUACCGUAAGAAUAAGCACCGGCUAACUACGUGCCAGCAGCCGCGGUAAUACGUAGGGCGCAAGCGUUAAUCGGAAUUACUGGGCGUAAAGCGUGCGCAGGCGGUUUUGUAAGACAGUGGUGAAAUCCCCGGGCUCAACCUGGGAACUGCCAUUGUGACUGCAAGGCUGGAGUGCGGCAGAGGGGGAUGGAAUUCCGCGUGUAGCAGUGAAAUGCGUAGAUAUGCGGAGGAACACCGAUGGCGAAGGCAAUCCCCUGGGCCUGCACUGACGCUCAUGCACGAAAGCGUGGGGAGCAAACAGGAUUAGAUACCCUGGUAGUCCACGCCCUAAACGAUGUCAACUGGUUGUUGGGGAUUUAUUUCUUCAGUAACGAAGCUAACGCGUGAAGUUGACCGCCUAGGGAGUACGGCCGCAAGGUU